rnacentral:tRNA from 1 species
GGGGAUUUAGCUUAGUGGCAUAAGCACCUGCCUGGCAAGUACAAGUUCGUGAGUUCAAUCCCCA